CAGUCGCCGCGGUAAUACGAAGGGGGCUAGCGUUGUUCGGAAUUACUGGGCGUAAAGCGCGUGUAGGCGGGUCUUUAAGUCAGGGGUGAAAUGCCAAGGCUCAACCUUGGAACUGCCUUUGAUACUGGAGAUCUUGAGUCCGGGAGAGGUGAGUGGAACUGCGAGUGUAGAGGUGAAAUUCGUAGAUAUUCGCAAGAACACCAGUGGCGAAGGCGGCUCACUGGCCCGGAACUGACGCUGAGACGCGAAAGCGUGGGGAGCAAACAGGAUUAGAGACCCGCGUAGUCCCUGUCUCUUAUAA
rnacentral:rRNA from 1 species